rnacentral:rRNA from 1 species
CGUGAAAAAAUUAGAGUGUUCAAAGCAGGCAGAUCCAAUUUUCUGCCACCGAAUACAUUAGCAUGGGAUAAUGGAAUAGGACCCUGUCCUCCUAUUUUCAGUUGGUUUUGGCAGCGCGAGGACUAGGGUAAUGAUUAAUAGGGAUAGUUGGGGGCAUUAAUAUUUAAUUGUCAGAGGUGAAAUUCUUGGAUUUAUGAAAGAUUAACUUCUGCGAAAGCAUCUGCCAAGGAUGUUUUCAUUAAUCAAGAACGAAAGUUAGGGGAUCGAAGACGAUCAGAUACCGUCGUAGUCUUAACCAUAAACGAUGCCGACCAGCGAUUAGGAGACGUUGAAUACAAAACACCACCAUCGGCGCGGUCGUCCUUGGCGUGUCUCGGCUUCACGGCUGGGGCGCGCGAGGGCGGUAGCCCUA